rnacentral:rRNA from 1 species
AGUGAACGCUGGCGGUAGGCCUAACACAUGCAAGUCGAACGGCAGCACAGUAAGAGCUUGCUCUUACGGGUGGCGAGUGGCGGACGGGUGAGGAAUACAUCGGAAUCUACUUUUUCGUGGGGGAUAACGUAGGGAAACUUACGCUAAUACCGCAUACGACCUACGGGUGAAAGCAGGGGAUCUUCGGACCUUGCGCGAUUGAAUGAGCCGAUGUCGGAUUAGCUAGUUGGCGGGGUAAAGGCCCACCAAGGCGACGAUCCGUAGCUGGUCUGAGAGGAUGAUCAGCAACACUGGAACUGAGACACGGUCCAGACUCCUACGGGAGGCAGCAGUGGGGAAUAUUGGACAAUGGGCGAAAGCCUGAUCCAGCCAUACCGCGUGGGUGAAGAAGGCCUUCGGGUUGUAAAGCCCUUUUGUUGGGAAAGAAAAGCAGCAGGUUAAUACCCCGCUGUUCUGACGGUACCCAAAGAAUAAGCACCGGCUAACUUCGUG